AAGCUGUCUCCAUUGUUGAUUAUCCAUCUCUGUGAUCAGAAGCAAGUGCUCCAUGCUUGGAAUGUAAUAUUCCCUGAACUGCAGCAAACUAGAGAUCUCCAUGAAACCUUCUACGUGUCCUCCAUGGGUCUAUCUGAAAUUAUGAUGUAGGACCUGAAUUACAGCAUCAAAUAAUCAGAUUCACCAGGAUGCACUUGGUUGGACUGAAUGUACUAUACUCCAGAGGACAUGGUGGGGUCUUGGUGAGUCAUAGAGAAAAAAACAGAACCAGAAUUCUUGAAAUAAAUAUAGAACAAUGCCCAGAGAAUACUUAAGCUGUGCAUACUCUUUGACCCAGAUAUACUCCAAGAAAUCA